GAUGAACGCUGGCGGCGUGCCUAAUACAUGCAAGUCGAGCGAACAGACGAGGAGCUUGCUCCUCUGACGUUAGCGGCGGACGGGUGAGUAACACGUGGAUAACCUACCUAUAAGACUGGGAUAACUUCGGGAAACCGGAGCUAAUACCGGAUGAUAUUUUGAACCGCAUGGUUCAAUAGUGAAAGACGGUUUUGCUGUCACUUAUAGAUGGAUCCGCGCCGCAUUAGCUAGUUGGUAAGGUAACGGCUUACCAAGGCAACGAUGCGUAGCCGACCUGAGAGGGUGAUCGGCCACACUGGAACUGAGACACGGUCCAGACUCCUACGGGAGGCAGCAGUAGGGAAUCUUCCGCAAUGGGCGAAAGCUUGACGGAGCAACGCCGCGUGAGUGAUGAAGGUCUUCGGAUCGUAAAACUCUGUUAUUAGGGAAGAACAAAUGUGUAAGUAACUAUGCACAUCUUGACGGUACCUAAUCAGAAAGCCACGGCUAACUACGUG
rnacentral:rRNA from 1 species